rnacentral:lncRNA from 1 species
CUCCUUAAUGUAAAUACUAUCGUUUGUUCAAAAAAAAAAAAAAAAAAAAACCCAACCAAAUGAAAACAACUAAACAAGCAUACAUCAAUGAAAAAAAAUCAAGGGAAAGUAUUCAAAAAAUUAAAUCAUUUCUAAACAGAUGAACACAUCUAAAAGUGAUGUAGCGAGGACCAAGCAUGGAGAGAUCGAAAUUAUCUUGAUGGAGCAAUGCCAAAGUAAUAACAACUACUACUAAUUGUUAAAGGAAGAUGAAUUUUUAUAGGUGGGAAUAGGGGGACCAAACACAUAUAUAAAACCUAAAA